rnacentral:rRNA from 1 species
UACGGGGGGGAGCAAGCGUUGUUCGGAUUUACUGGGCGUAAAGGGCGCGUAGGCGGCCACCGCAAGUCGGUUGUGAAAUCUCCGGGCUUAACCCGGAAAGGUCAAUCGAUACUGCGGGGCUAGAGUGCAGAAGGGGGCAACUGGAAUUCUCGGUGUAGCGGUGAAAUGCGUAGAUAUCGAGAGGAACACCUGCGGCGAAGGCGGGUUGCUGGGCUGACACUGACGCUGAAGCGCGAAAGCUAGGGGAGCGAACGGGG